GCAAGUCGAGCGAGAACGUCGUCUUCGGGCGAAUAGUAAAGCGGCGAACGGGUGGGGAACACGUGGGUAACCUGCCUUGGUGAUGGGGAUAACCUGGGGAAACUCGGGCUAAUACCGCAAACGACUGGAGAACUGCGGUGCUGAGAGGAAAGCUAGCCAAAUCUUGAAAGGUAGCGCUCUUAGAGGGGCCCGCGCCCGAUUAGCUUGUUGGUGAGGUAACGGCUCACCAAGGCGGUGAUCGGUAGCCGGCCUGAGAGGGCGAUC
rnacentral:rRNA from 1 species